CCUGGUCACUCAGAUGGUAAAGAAUCUGCCUGCAAUGCAGGAGACCUGGGUUUGAUCCCUGGGUCAGGA
rnacentral:tRNA from 1 species